CCCGCCCAGGACCUGGCCAGGAUGGCGGCUUCCUUCCGCAGAGUCGUUCAUCCCCCGGGUGACGAGCGCGGAGCGGGGCCUCCGGGGUGCACGGUGCGGAGCGAGGGUACACCUUGUCCUUUCCUGCACAGGGGACUGCGCUGUCCUUUCAGGGACAUUCAGGGGUCUCUGGGGACUCUGGAGCAGCUUGCAGGCCGGUCUUGUGGUCCCGGUAAGAGCCCCGCAGCUCAUGGCUCUGUCCAGGGAGUUUUCAUGACACGUUUGGGAGCCCAAAGAGAGAAGGCUGCUGAGGAUACUGCCGGUUCAUUGUCAUCAACAGGGGGAGCCGGGGCGACCAGAGCUGGGCUUUGCAGUGAGGCGGCAGAGUCCCGUCUCUGCUCCUAACCAGACACACGUCGACGUCGCCGCUCACCAGAACGUGCUUAUAAUUUUAUGCAGUUAUCCAAAACAGUGACGCACAAGCUUUGGAGAAAGCCUAAGAAUUCUGCAGGUCCCGUGAGGACAUGCACAGAGCCCAGCAUACAAAGAUGUUCAGUAAAUAUUUUGUCCGGUCAGCCAGCGGAUAGUGGAUGGUGACAGGAAUGGAUAGUGAACAGGACCCUGCUCCAGCUGGAGUGCCGGCUGGGUGCAUGCCCCUUCUGCCCAGAGGGGACUGCCAAAAGAGGAACCUUCUGUCCCAGGCGGUGGUGAAAGGUUCCUGGUGACGCAGGCUUGUGAACAAGCUGAGAAGACGCUGCGCUGCAGGCCCGGAUGGGGCCCAACGAGCGAGCCCUGUCCCCAGGCCACAGCAUCCUCGAAGGCGCCUUCCUCGGGUUGCUACAGAAAUAACCCUCAGCCUGAGGUGGGGCAGGGCCUGGAAGCCUAGAGCCCCUUUGUCCGAGUGCACACCCUCCCUUUGCCCC